CAGUAUUUUCUGCCUUACAUAUCAGUUUUGAGUUAAAGCUAAGGACAGGCCCUUGGCUGAAUUUUGGACCAGGUGAAGCUUCUUCACCUUAUGUAUGGGACCUGGGCCCCCAAGGAACAGGAGGGAGGUGGUGGCAGUGCAGUGAGGAUGGCUCCUCUUGGAGGAAGUGAGGGUGACAUCAGCCCGAGAGUGGGUGACAUUAGAGAAAAGGCUGGUGACAAUUGAGAGUGGCUGAAAUCACUGAUUCUUUGGUCAGUUAAUUUAAAACCAACCAUGCUCAAAUUUCUGUCAUCUUCUAAGAAACAGAGCUGAUAGACUAAUUUAUACUUGAGUAUUAAAGACUAGUGAUAGUUAACAUUUAUUAAUUGCUUACUACGUGUCAGUGACUAUGGUAACCGACUUACAUAUUAACUCAUCUAAUAUUUGCAGCAAGCCUGUGAGGAAAGUACUACGAUUAUCCUCAUUUUACAGUUCUGGAGAUUGGAAGUCCAAGACCAAGGUGCUGGCAGGAUUGGUUUCUGAUGAGGAGAUAUGGAUACAGACACACACAGAGGGAUGACCGUGUGAGGACACAGAUAGAAGAUGGCCAUCUAUAAGCCAAGGAGAGAAGCCUCAGAAGAAACCAACUCUGCUGACACCUUAAUCUUGGACUUCUUGCCUCCAACUAUGAGGAAAUAAAUUUCUGUUGUUUAAGCCACUCAGUCUGUGGUACUUUGUUGGGAUAGCUUUAGCAAAUUAAUACAUCCAUAAUUCAUUGUUGUUUUUGUUAGUGCUGUCGAGUGGAUUCUGACUCCUAGCUACCCUGUGUAUGGCAGAGCAGAAUCCUGCCGAUCUUUUUGCGCCAUCCUCUCACCUUCCAGAGCUCUAUCAGACAGUGCUCCGCUGCUAUUCAUAGGGUUUUCAUGGCCAAUUUUUUUGGAAGUGGGUGGCCAGGUCCUUCUUCCUAGUGUGUCUAGUCUGGAAGCUCUGCUGAAACCUGUUCACCGUGGGUGACCCUGCUGGUAUUUGAAAUACUGGUCGCACAGCUUUCAGCAUCACAGCAACAUGCAGCUGCCACAGUAUGACAACUGGCAGAUGAGUGGUGUGGUUCCCUGACCAGAAACAAACCCUGGCCGCAGUAGUGAGAGCGCCAAAUCUUAACCACUAGACCCCCAGAUAAAUUCAUCAGCAGGUAUAAAAUGGUGACACUCUAAUCCUAUCACAUCUUUUUUUUGUUUAUCAGCUACUUCUGUAAAGAUAAAUUUUCCCUCACCAACUAUUUGGUUACUCAUAGGCAUAAUUAGCAUAGGAAGGGCAAGAAAAAUGCUUGAUUCUUUUCUUUUAUGUACCAGUUUCCAAAAUAAUGCUUGGUUCCUCAUCAUCCCCCGAAAGUGAA